UUUUUAGUUCUAUUAAAGUAUCUGAUACUUCUUUUUACUUUGAAAGGAAAAUUACUUCAAUGUUUCAGAUGCUUCAGACAGUAGAGUAUCUUGGGCUAUCAAAACAGAAUACAACAGUCAUGAUCAGAAACAUUUUACUUUAGCAUGUAAGCCAUUAUUUGUAUAAAAUCACUGAUAUUCUUAGGAUUUAACAGGCAUGUUUGGUGAAUUUAUUUGCAUCUUUCCAAUGUUUUAUGCAUUUCUUGUUCCAGUUUCAUCUCUGUUAUUUCUGUUCCCCUGUCUUUCUUGAAUUUAUGAUUAAUGUUUCUUUAGGCAACAAAACAAUACAUUCCAGACCAAGAGUUAUGCAAAGACAUAGCAAUUUUUUAGAAAUAAAACAAGUCAAUAAAAUACCAGUAUAUAACAAGUUUCCUCUCCACACAAGAGAUCUUUUAGGCAAAAGUUAUGCUUAGACCAAAAUAACAACUGUCCUAAAAGGAAACAAAAAUGGAACAGCAAGAGAUGUCUGUGGAAAAUUCCAGUCACUACCUGGAUCUGGAUACAAUUGCUAAAGAGGACAAAAGAACUAAUGGCAUGGAUUUAAUGGAUCAAGUUUCUCUUCUGCAGUUCGUCUCUUUAUUAAUGGCCCAUGAAAAGUGAAGACCAAGAGAUUUGCACCAAAGAGCUGCCAGAGACUAAACCAACCAUUACCUCUUGAAAGAUCGCAUCGUUGAUGCUUUAAAUUAAAACUUUAUUGCCAUUGUAAAAUGUCCGUGAGUUAUGAAAUAUAUGGUUUUCAGAGAGUGGUCAUUAUUUUUUCAGCUAAAGAAGGAGUGUCCUUUCCCCUUGGGAGCAGUGUGAAAUGGAGCCCUCUGUAGGUCUUCCUUAGCUGAGAUUCCUGGCCAAAGACUAUUCAACUUUUGCCAUCCACAUCUGGUUCUUUCUUUGUUCUAUUUGAAAGCAAUGAACCAAGCUUUGGGUCACAUCUGCAGGCCCUACUCUAACAGUGAAAUAAAAAGAACCAUAUUUAUUUAUGGAAGAAAGAUAAUAAUUUUCCAACUGAUCUAAGACAAAGAUGGGGUUUGUUUAGCCCGAAGUAAAGAAGACUCAGCGAGGACCUUAUCGCUCUGUACAGCUACCUGAACGAAUGUUAUAGGUGGGUGUUGGUCUUUUCUGCCAUGUAACAAGCAAUAGGACAAGAGGAAAUGGCAUCAAGCUGUGUCAGUUGAGGUUUAAAUUGGAUAUUAGGAAACAUUUCUUCACUUAAAGGGUGGUCAAGCACUGGAACAGGCUGCCCAGGGAAGUGAUGGAAUCAAUGUCCUCAGAAGUGUUCAAAAAACAUGUGAAUGUGGUGCUUAGGGACAGAGUUUAGUGGUGCAGUGCUGGCUUAAUGGUUAGAUUGGGUGAUCUCAGAGGUCUUUUCCAACCUUAAUGAUUCUAUGAUUCUAUGAUACUAUGGUUUAGUGGUGAAUAUGGCAGUAAUAGGUUAGUGGUUGGACUUGAUGGUCUUAAAGAUCUUUCCAACCCAAACAAUUCUGUGAUUCUCUGAUUCUAUGGUACAGCCUCCUCCUGCAUCUAGCACAGGAAUGCCUUGGGAAAAAACCUCCCCUGCCUCAGGCUGCUCUGCACCCACCUGAUUUACACCUGAAGGGCAAAUACUUUGAGACCUAUAUACCAGCAUGGCCCACAGGGAUUUGGAUCAGCUGGUUUUGGGGUACAAUUCACUAACAGGACUGUUAGUGGCUUAGUGACCACAGCUGGAUGGAGAAGCCAGACAGAUACCUGUGGAGAGCAUUGACUGCCUGUUCAACAACCAAAUGUUCUUUGUGUGAAGGAGAAGGUAAUAUUGUAAUGAAGAUUCAGAGGUUUGGAGCUCCGUACUGUGACUCAGGAGCAUUCAGGCUGUCAUGGGUUAAGAUUGGCCCCCCCUGAGAGUCGGGGGGCUCAGAGGGGAUUGGGUGCCAGGACAGUGUUCCCUGGAGAGCCAAUUACCACUCGUCUUGUUCGCUUCUGCUAAAAAUCACAUAUACACAGCUCCGGAAGCUGUUGGCAGUGUUUCUGUUGGUGUCUGCUGCGUGUAGGUGUAGAAGGCCAGGGGGUGGCUGGGCUCCUUCUCCCCCCCUCCGAGGGGGAAGGGGAGCCCUGCAGCCCCCCAACUCUGCCUAGGCCAGAGUUAGAGACAGCAUUGGAGUGAGUGAGUGUUUGUGAGGGACGCGACUCACAAACAACUGGUAAGCAAGAGAGAGAGAGAGGCCAGGCCCUCUUCUUCUUUCCCCCCCUUUUUGCAGCCAGGCUGCAGAAGGGGCUGUUUUUCCCUUUCACUGUUUAGUGGGAGUGGUGCAAGGCUCAGCAUUGAAGCAGAGCCAAAUGGACAGGCUGAUAAUGGAGCAGCUCGGCGCUAGGGAAAAGAAUCCCAGGCAAAAUUGGAGACAGGCCAAAGGGCUCGGGAGUUGCCCUACAGAGAUUUGACCGGGGGCAGCCGAAAACUGACUUGGAGGAAUGAAGAUUCCAAACGCCUACUGUGAUAAGCUACACUACAGCAGCAGUGAACCGAGGUAUGAGACUGAGAGGGAGAGAUCACACAGCAGAAAUGACACAGGACCAAGGAGAAAGGACUCAGAGCUACCUUCUUAGACUUGUGAAAAUUGGGUCACUUAUGAAGAGUCUUAGAGACUCCGUCUCACCUUCCUGUCCUGCUGGAGAUGGUUCAAACACAAAUCUCUCACCUUUCCUCCAUAUGAGAGGCUCAGCCACUGUGAUGCUGGUACAGGAGCUGGAGUGUGGUGUGAGUGGCCAGAAAGUGUCUGUUGUCUCUCUAACUGAAGCUGUUCCACUGAACAGAAAAACCUUCUCAAAUAAACAGAUCAACAAGA